rnacentral:rRNA from 1 species
CAGUAGCCGCGGGAAUACAGAGGGUGCGAGCGUUAAUCGGAUUUACUGGGCGUAAGGCGUGCGUAGGCGGCUUUUAAGUCGGAUGUGAAAUCCCUGAGCUUAACUUAGGAAUUGCAUUCGAUACUGGGAAGCUAGAGUAUGGGAGAGGAUGGUAGAAUUCCAGGUGUAGCGGUGAAAUGCGUAGAGAUCUGGAGGAAUACCGAUGGCGAAGGCAGCCAUCUGGCCUAAUACUGACGCUGAGGUACGAAAGCAUGGGGAGCAAACAGGAUUAGAUACCCCAGUAGUCCCUGUCUCUUAUACA